UACAGAGGUGGCAAGCGUUGUUCGGAAUUACUGGGCGUAAAGGGCGCGUAGGCGGCCUUCUCAGUCAGACGUGAAAUCCCCCGGCUUAACCUGGGAACUGCGUCUGAUACUGGGAGGCUUGAGUAUGGGAGAGGGAUGUAGAAUUCCAGGUGUAGCGGUGAAAUGCGUAGAUAUCUGGAGGAAUACCGGUGGCGAAGGCGGCAUCCUGGACCAUAACUGACGCUGAGGCGCGAAAGCUAGGGGAGCAAACGGG
rnacentral:rRNA from 1 species